rnacentral:tRNA from 1 species
GCGGUUGUGGCGGAACUGGCAGACGCGCACGGUUCAGGUCCGUGUGGGCAUUAUCGCCCUUGGAGGUUCGAAUCCUCUCAACCGCACCA